AAUUCUCUCCCAGUUGUGGGCCAGAUAAAAUAGAAAACAAGUCAGAGCUGCAGCCCUAUAUCCAUCCUUACCCUCAGGACCCACAGGUGCUCCUGGAACCUUGACCAGCACAAUGAGGCCCAUUUUCUGAAAUCACAAGCCCAUGUGGGCAAUGAUUGGCUGGCCUGGCUGUCCUGCCCUUUGUACAUGUUCGUGGGUUUAGGUGUAGAUAAACCCACUCAAGUGCCUGCAGCUGUACUUGAUGCCGUCUUUUCUGCCUAGACGUUGCAGCGCCUGUUUGGUGAGAGAGAGUGAGGGGCCAUGGCAUUUCAGGGGAUCUGGUCUGUGUGGGGCUCUGCUAGACCUUCUUCAGGAGGUGCUAGGCUGUCACUUGCUAAGAAUGGGCUGUGUCGCCUGUUCCUGCUGUUGGAAAUCUUUUCAGGCAGAGGUGAGGAAGCAAGAAAACAGGCAGUGGGAGCAGGACAGGAGAAGUAACUCAGGUAAGAAAGUGGGAAGCUUCCAGAAGAUCACCCAGGCUAGGACCAUCCUGCCUGACCUACAGGAGCCAACUCGAAGAUCACCACAGGCCCAUAUAGAUGGGUACAGACGGUGGCCACACACAUGGAGUCUAUAGAGAAUGAGGCCCUUGGAGUCACCUGGAACAGAUGAAGGCCUGGCUUCAUCAGCUUGACAUGUUGGAUCAUAGUUCCCUGACAAAGGAUCAAACCUGUAUCCCCUGUAGUGGAAGUGCAGAGUCUUAACCACUGGACUGCCAGGUCCCUCACCAGGAACUGAACCCACCUCUCCUGCAUUGGCAACAUGGAGUCUUAACCACUGGCCCACCAGGGAAGUCUGAAGCUUUUCAUAUACUUCUCAAUCUGUUAGAUUCUUUGUUAAAUUCUUCAUUCUAGUCUUUGAUGUUCCCAUAUCAUAAAUAAAUAAAUGUUAAUAGUUAAUAAUUUACUUGUUGGGUUCUGAAAACAAAAAUCUAUGUGCUUAGACAAAUUCAUAGUGGCAGGUAUUCAUC
ensembl:lncRNA